rnacentral:lncRNA from 1 species
UAUGUGUUGUUUUUCUGAUGAUUUGGGUCUUGGAACAUCUGAAUAGGCAAGCACAGUAUUGCAAGUAAGAAAAUGUGAAACAUUGCCAAUAACUUGCCUCAUAUACAUGAUAGUUUUAGGUCAUACAAGCAAUGGGGAAAAGAAAAGCAGUCUAUAUGUGAUGAAGCAAGCCUAAGUCAAAUAGGUAAUGCCCAUACAACCAAAUUCAUUACAAUGGAUGGAUUUCAGUCCUAAAACUGAAAAGUAAAUAUGCAUAACAUAAGUGAAUCGUAGAACGUGGUCUAUACACAGCACGAUAGUCUUCCUGUGAGUACAGCUUCUACCACACAUCGCCUGUAAACAAAAGAAAAGAUAACCAUACCAUACUCAAGUUGACCAGUGCAAAGCUCGCUAUAAAAUAGAAACUUCAAAGACCAUGUCAGGUAAUAUGUCGAUAGGAUUUAGAAAACAAUGUCCGGAAAACAAAAAUAUUUCUCAGUAUAUAGUAGGAUAUCAUGCAUGCAGCAAUCAUGUACAUAGGUGUUCUCAACAGUGAACUAACAUCAGGCAGAAAAACUAAAAUGCGCCAUUCUAGGAAAGUUUGUAUAUUCUACAUGCAUCGACCACCACAAUACUGAAAGGGAAAGCAAUAUUAUUAAUCAAUAAAAACAUUUUUUUUUCAGAAUCCAUGAGAACGAAGGGAGUGGAAACAGAAAAUAUUUAUAAAUCUUUGAAGGAUACGAAAGAACUGCAAUAUUAUAGGCUAACAUAAUUGAUCUUUUCCAGAGAAGAUCUUUGCUAGAAGGAAAAAACAGGUUUAACCUUGGAAGAGGAUUAUUUUUCUGCUAGCAUUAUGCAAUGGAAUAAAGGAGAAACUACUCUAUUAACGGCAAAUAAUACAGUGAUAGGUGGCGUUGAAAACAAAACUGAUAUAAAAUGUACAUGCCAAUGUAUCUUAAUCAUAGCAAACAACAAACAACAAACAACCAACAAUGAGAAAAUGCAUACCACAUAGCAACAGCCAACAAUAAGCACAUGCAUUGUGAAAACAGACUCAUCCCAUUGGAGAGAAGCAUGGUGGAGAAAAUCAAAAUCCACCAGAAUCAAAAAGAAAUCAAGCACGCAUUACACAUAAAACAUUUACCCUAAGUUCAUGCAUUAGAAAAAUAAGUGAGGGCACCACAUUUUCUAAAACUAUAGUUUAAAGUUAGCAAUCUGAGCAUAGGUGCGAAGAGUAUCUUAACCACGGCUCUGGUUUUAGCUGAAACUUGCUUUUUUAGAUAUAGCAGUACAUAAAAACACAAUGAACAUCUGAAUAAGAAUUUAUUCUUCUGAAAUUAAUAUGGCAUGGGACUGCUAUGGACAAUGAUGGAACAUUUAUGGUGACACAGUUUUUAGAAAUCUUUUUCAUUAUCAUAGUGGAUCUUAGGGAAAAUGGACUUUCAAUCAACUUCAUAGUGGAUCUUAGGGAAAAAUUUCCUAUGCCACUACAACACCGACAAGUGCGACCAUGUUUUCAUCAAAACAAUAUUACCAAUUCUUUUGGUUGCAAUGAAACACCGAAAACCUGGCUCGAGUACAUUUGAACAAUAACAUUGUCGGCUAUCUAAAUACCUGUAAAAUUACAUACUCAUAUAUCAAGCUUUCAAAGUAUAAGUAUUUUUCAGGUCUGGACAGAGUCAAGCGACUGAAAGAAUAUUAUCCUUUUUAGUUAAAAUUAAAUAGCUUAAUCUUCUAUCAGAUUUACAUGGGCCUUAGGGUAUAAUUCGUGAAAACAGAGUAACUAGUGAUAAUCAAAUCCAUUACUGCAUGAAGGUACUUUUUUCACAUGAUCAUGCCAUAAAGGCAUUCCAGAUUUGCAGAAGAAAGGUAGGAAACUCCUACAAAGCAGUAAGCAAAACACCUAGAUUCAGAGCAGCUGGGAACGAAUAAAUUCAGAAAUAGAUAAUUAGUAAACAUUGAGAUUGCACGUGUUCUAUUGCUACCUGCCUUCUCUUGUUAAGUAACUUAUUCAAAGACAGAUAGUAGCUCACUGAUAAGUAGGUGGUGAUGUUCUAGAUGCUCGUCCCUUCUCACCUUGGGCUCUCUGAAUAAGUGAAUAUGUAUUACCAAAUCCAAUGAUCGCUAGCUCCAUGAAGAUCACACCUGUACCACUGCAAGCAAGCAAGCCAGCUGUUAGAUCUAUUUGUCCAUAUAAGAUAGGAGUAGGAAUACAUGCAUAUCCUGCUAUAUGUCACUCAAAAUUUCAUUUUUCAAAUAUGCUAGCCUGCUAAUUGCAUUGGGACAAAUUUGUAGAAGAAGCUAAUCAGGGCAUAUCCAAUGCAAGAGUGCUUGUUCGGCGCUUAGGCAAUAAAAAAUAAUAAUAACGGAAGUAGCAUCGAUCUAGCAGUCUGCAACAAAUGAUGCAUGUCAAACGCAAAACAGAUUAACCAAAUGAACUACUUACGCUCUGGCAAGGUCAAGAGCUAUCUGUAUACCCUGUCUUGGGAUAUAUGGGCCAGCAACAACAUACUACAUGUAGUAUUGUCUAGGCUAAUGAGGUAAGAUUAUCCACUGCUGAGUUACUUUUCAUUUUGCCCUUCAAUUCAAGUGCUUACAGAACAACACAUGCAUUUUUUUCAACCCUACAACAGUCCAAUUUUUUUCAAAGAGGGUUUAAAUCGAUUUCUUUUGCAAGCGAUGCGUACAUACAGUUUGGGGAAAUAGGUGAACACAGAGCAACAACUCCUUGACGAAUCAGUAAUCAAAUGUAACGGAAUGAUGAGGUGAAAAAGUUGGUUCAGCCUGUGUCUGAAUCAUUCAGCCUCUCAUUAUUUUGAGAAAAUAGGCUCAAGACAAGGUAUCAUCUAUCAGCCUGCUUAGGCUCAAGACAAGGUAUCAUCUAUCAGCCUGCUUAAGUGAGUUUCGUAGUGGAGUGUUCCUUGCAGUUCAGGAGCACACCAUGGAUUCUUGGUCAUUCAAAUAAAGAGCCCUUUCUCACUUACUCUAUUAUAAUGUGAUUGCUAGAUCACGUACUAAGUGUGUUGAAAAGAGAAGUUAUUUUGCAGUCAAAAUAAAAAACACGAGUAAUCCAAACCAAACCAAGAGCUGAGGUGGUGACGAACACUCACCUCGACCUUGUCGAGCUUGCCCUUAUUCAGAACCUUGAAAAGGGUGAAUCCAGCGGGCAUCUCAAACGACAUCAACAUCUCCAACCAAGUAGCAACUCAACUCACCUAGAUCGAAGCACACGACACAAUGAAAUCAAAAUUUAACGAAAUGAUGAGGUGAGAAAGAUGGUUCAGCAUGUGUCUGAAUCAUUCAGCCUCUCAUUAUUUUGGGAAAAUAGGCUCAAGACAAGGUAUCAUCUAUCAGCCUGCUUAAGUGAGUUUCGUAGUGGAGUGUUCCUUGCAGUUCAGGAGCACACCACGGAUUCUUGGUCAUUCAAAUAAAGAGCCUUUUCUCACUUACUCUAUUAUAAUGUGAUUGCUAGAUAAAGUACUAAGUGUGUUGAAAAGAGAACUUAUUUUGCAGUCAAAAUAAAAAAAACACGAGUAAUCCAAACCAUGUACAGGUAUCAUUUUCCUCAGGACCUUCUGUAUAUUCCUUUAUCGCCCUCUAAAUUUCUCUUUCACUUCUACCAGCGCACGCACAUAUAUUGAUUGAGUGCAAAUAGAGCUAGCAAUAGCAAACAUAUCCAAACCCAAAAUGCAAAGAAUCAGAUUCAGUAUAGAGAGAAGGAUACCUUUGGGGCUACGACGUCACAAAUAGGAGGCUGCAGCCAGUGUAAACCAAGGAGAAAGCAAAUCGCUGGACUAGGAAAAGAAGGGCAUGGUCAGGAAAAUAUAUAACUUCUACUUACUACAAUGGAAGAAGGAAACGGUUGCCAAUACAUAACUAAACAAAAAAUGACGUUUGGGGGAACAAUAUAUGAAAUACUAAUAAUAGAAUCCAAAAGAAGUUGCAUUAUCAAAAACCCUAAUAAUCAACAAAAUCAAAGUAAUCUUCCUUGCCUCUAUAGCACAUGCCUCAACCUUAUAAGGCAUAACAUGAAACCAUGUCUUCGAAAUUGAAACAUAAUCAAACCGCUCUUAAAUAUCUGAAACACACAUCGUAUUCCUCCCCAAGGCUGCUAUUAUCCAACUACGAUGGUCUAAUCAGAUUCACAUGCCACGACCACACACAACAAUCACAUAGUAUGUUACUUGGCCCUAGUUACUUCAAGUAGUUUUAACAAAAUACAUGUUACCUCCUCUGAUCCAUAUUAAUUUUCAUUGAUUUAGUACACUACUAAAUCAGCGACAACUAAUAUGGAUUAGAGGGAGUACUUUCUUUUGACUACCUUAUGUGGAGCAAAGGCCACACAGUCCUUUAUUUCAAUCAAAGGAAAUAUAUACAAACAGAGAAUAAACAGUCCCAAGAGAAAAGAAAGAAAGAGAAAAAAGAACCCUGAAGUUCUUACCAUUUGAGUUGCUGAACUACUUGCGGAACUAAAGGUGCGAAGGCCAUAGGUAGGAACCACUAUCUCAGGCGUUGGCAACUUCGCCUCUUGUUUAUCAAAUUAGUAUGUACUCCUAUACCAUCACGAGGAAGAGGUGGAAUGGCGGUAACCUGUUUAACAAAUGAUUAAUGUAAUCACAUUUGUUUCCUAAACUGCAGUUAAAGUAUUAACAAGUAUCAUGCAUACACAGAUUGAUUUUCUUUCAUAGGAAAACUGAUUUGUACUUCAUGAGCCAAAACCAAAAUAACAAUGGAUCCCCGUCUUAUAGUACAGCCAACCUGCCUUCACCGCCGAUAAAUCAAAUCUACCAAAACAUACGGACAAAUUUACAGUUUAGAGAGGGAUGAUCUUGCACACACCUCAAGCAAAAUGACAUGUGCAAACACCAGACAGGUUGAUAUGGUCGUUGAGGAGAAAUAUUCUAAUGGAGAAAGCCAUAGAAAAAUCUGAUAGAAACGAAGUCAACCACCAACUUAGCACUUUGUAAAAUUGGGAAUAGAGCAAUAGGAGGAAAGUAGAGAAACCAUACACAUCAUAGCAAGGAUGUACUUCUGACAGCCGUGCAUAGAGCAACACAUCCUCGGCACCUUUCUCUUUGCUGCUGCAAAACAGGAGCCAGUGGUGAGGCGCCAGCCGGCUGGCAUCACCUUCACCUUUCCCACUCUGCCUCAAAUCUGUUAGCAAUGCCUGACCUCCGCCCACCCUCGUAUCCCCUCUCCUCUGCAACGGCUUGCUCUCUCCUCGAUCUCAACCAAUACAUUAGCCUGAAGCUUAACAC